UGGGGAAUAUUGCACAAUGGGCGCAAGCCUGAUGCAGCCAUGCCGCGUGUGUGAAGAAGGCCUUCGGGUUGUAAAGCACUUUCAGCGGGGAGGAAGGCGUUAAGGUUAAUAACCUUGGCGAUUGACGUUACCCGCAGAAGAAGCACCGGCUAACUCCGUGCCAGCAGCGGCGGUAAUACGGAGGGUGCAAGCGUUAAUCGGAAUUACUGGGCGUAAAGCGCACGCAGGCGGUCUGUCAAGUCGGAUGUGAAAUCCCCGGGCUCAACCUGGGAACUGCAUUCGAAACUGGCAGGCUAGAGUCUUGUAGAGGGGGGUAGAAUUCCAGGUGUAGCGGUGAAAUGCGUAGAGAUCUGGAGGAAUACCGGUGGCGAAGGCGGCCCCCUGGACAAAGACUGACGCUCAGGUGCGAAAGCGUGGGGAGCAAACAGG
rnacentral:rRNA from 1 species